CCCGGACCUGCAGCAUCAACAUCACCUGGAAACCCAUUAGAAAAGCAAACCCAGCUGUGGGCCCAGCAAGUUGUAGUUUAACAAGCCCUUCAGGUGAUUCUGAUGCACUCUCAGGAUUGAAAAGCACUGGUCUGGGAAAGACACAGUCUCCUCAGACCUGAAUGUCACAUCAUUCCAGGUGUAUACUUUGGGAGGUACACAGACCCACUGUAGCACCUUCAGAUGGUGAGAAGGAAGGCCAAUUAAAAGAAUGUCCAAAGAAAGGAGUACUCAUCAUGAGAUAAAACACCAGCAGAGGAAUGAAAGCUGCUUCAAACAGGUGACAAAACUGAGGCUCAGAGGCCAAUGGCCUUGUUCAAGGUCACACGCCCACUAAAUGAGAGACCCGGAGACCUGGCAUCACACGUAAGUCUGUUUGCCUCCAAAGUCUGAGAUUUUUCCUGCCCCAUUCCCCAGGAACAAGUAUCUCAUUGCUUGGGCCAGCCUAACGCAGGCUGCCCCUCUGACCAACUCCUGCUAGAGCCCCUUCUCAUUCCUGUUCUGCGGUCAGGGAACAUAUUUCCUAGGGUGAGAAGACAGCCUGGAGCUACCCAUUCGACAAUUGCUCCUUUCAGU
rnacentral:lncRNA from 10 species